CUACGGGUGGCAGCAGUGAGGAAUAUUGGUCAAUGGGCGCAAGCCUGAACCAGCCAAUCCGCGUGCAGGAUGAAUGCCCUAUGGGUUGUAAACUGCUUUUAUACAGGAAGAAUCCUUCAUACGUGUAUGGAGCUGACUGUACUGUAAGAAUAAGCAUCGUCUAACUCCGUGCCAGCAGCCGCGGUAAUACGGAGGAUGCGAGCGUUAUCCGGAUUUAUUAGGUCUAAAGGGUGCGUAGGCGGAUAAUUAAGUCAGUGGUGAAAUCCUGCAGCUUAACUGUAGAACUGCCAUUGAUACUGGUUGUCUUGAGUUUAGUUGAGGUAAGCGGAAUGUGUAGUGUAGCGGUGAAAUGCUUAGAUAUUACACAGAACACCGAUUGCGAAGGCAGCUUACUAAGCUACAACUGACGCUGAGGCACGAAAGCGUGGGGAGCGAACAGGAUUAGAUACCCCGGUAGUC
rnacentral:rRNA from 1 species